rnacentral:rRNA from 1 species
AGAGUUUGAUCAUGGCUCAGAAUGAACGUUGGCGGCGUGGAUUAGGCAUGCAAGUCGGACGGGCCGCAAGGCCAGUGGCGCAAGGGUGAGUAAGGCGACGGUAACCAACCCCGCAGACGGGCAUAGCCGGGGGAAACCCCGGGUAAUUCCCGGCGACGUGGCGGCCCGGCAUCGGGCGGCCACCAAAGAUUCAUCGCUGCGGGACGGGCCGUCGUGGUAUUAGGUAGUUGGCGGGGUGACGGCCCACCAAGCCUGCGAUGCCUACCGGGCGUGCGAGCGUGGCCCGGCACACUGGGACUGAGACACUGCCCAGACUCCUACGGGAGGCUGCAGUCGAGAAUCUUCGGCAAUGGGCGCAAGCCUGACCGAGCGACGCCGCGUGGAGGAUGAAGGCCUUCGGGUUGUAAACUCCUGUCGAGGGGGAGGAAGGCGCAAGCUUGACCGAUCCCUGGAGGAAGCACGGGCUAAGUUCGUGCCAGCAGCCGCGGUAAUAC